CCUACGGGUGGCUGCAGUGGGGAAUUUUGCGCAAUGGGCGAAAGCCUGACGCAGCAACGCCGCGUGGGUGAUGAAGGUCUUCGGAUCGUAAAACCCUGUCGUUGGGGACGAAGGUGGGGGCGUUAAUAGCGUUUCUGCUUGACGGUACCCGGAGAGGAAGCCCCGGCUAACUCUGUGCCAGCAGCCGCGGUAAUACAGAGGGGGCAAAUUGUAUGCGGAGUUAUUGGGGGUAAAGGGUGCGGAGAGAGUUGUAAGCCCCGAGCUCAACUUGGGAACUGCAUCUGAAACUGGAAGGCUAGAGUACUGGAGAGGGUGGUGGAAUUCCUCGUGUAGCGGUGAAAUGCGUAGAGAUGAGGAGGAACACCAGUGGCGAAGGCGGCCACCUGGACAGUAACUGACGCUGAGGCGCGAAAGUGUGGGUAGCAAACAGGAUUAGAUACCCUAGUAGUC
rnacentral:rRNA from 1 species